CACUGACACACACAACAAUCUUCAUCAACAUGACCUUCAUCAUCAUCUUCAUCUGGACUCUCACAGCGUUUGCUCAAGAGAGUAGAGGACAGAUCAGCGUCACUCAGAGUCCCUCAACGACAGCAGCUCAACCAGAAGAAACAGUCAAAAUCAACUGUAAAACCAGCACAGAUGUGUACAGAUGGAGUGAUGGGGAUGAAGAGUUAGCCUGGUACUUACAGAAACCUGGAGAAGCUCCUAAACUCCUGAUUUAUUUAACAAACCGCCUCCAGUCAGGAACUCCAUCUAGAUUCAGUGGCAGUGGAUCUGGGACUGAUUUCACUCUGACCAUCAGUGGAGUCCAGACUGAAGAUGCUGGACAUUAUUACUGUCUGAGUGUACACAGGAUUAACAGUAAUGUUGUGUUCACACAGUGAUAAAGAGUCGUACAAAAA